rnacentral:lncRNA from 1 species
UAAACUCUCUACGCACAAAGAAGCCCACGCCCCUCCCUUCUCACGCCUUGAGUGGAUAAGGAUAAGUUGGUUGGCAUUUGAAUUCAAAUUUGAUUUGAAUUCAAGUGAGCAACCACCUAGCUUUAUCUUCUCACACGGUGAAGAUGCGAUCUUGCACUGUUUUAAAAGAAAAGAGAAGGUGGGGCAUGCGCACAACUAAUCUGAGAGAGAAGGUUGCAUGAGAAGGCCUUGUGCGU